rnacentral:rRNA from 1 species
CCUACGGGUGGCAGCAGUAGGGAAUAUUGGUAAUCUGGGAAACCGGGAACCAGCAACGCCGCGUGCGCGAUGAAGGCCUUCGGGUUGUAAAGCGCUUUUUGAGAGGAUGAGGAAGGACAGUACUCUUAGAAUAAGCCUCGGCUAACUACGUGCCAGCAGCCGCGGUAAU